rnacentral:rRNA from 1 species
GACGAACGCUGGCGGCGUGCCUAAUACAUGCAAGUUGAGCGCUGAAGGUUGGUACUUGUACCGACUGGAUGAGCAGCGGACGGGUGAGUAACGCGUGGGGAAUCUGCCUUUGAGCGGGGGACAACAUUUGGAAACGAAUGCUAAUACCGCAUAAAAACUUUAAACACAAGUUUUAAGUUUGAAAGAUGCAAUUGCAUCACUCAAAGAUGAUCCCGCGUUGUAUUAGCUAGUUGGUGAGGUAAAGGCUCACCAAGGCGAUGAUACAUAGCCGACCUGAGAGGGUGAUCGGCCACAUUGGGACUGCGACACGGCCCAAACUCCUACGGGAGGCAGCAGUAGGGAAUCUUCGGCAAUGGACGAAAGUCUGACCGAGCAACGCCGCGUGAGUGAAGAAGGUUUUCGGAUCGUAAAACUCUGUUGGUAGAGAAGAACGUUGGUGAGAGUGGAAAGCUCAUCAAGUGACGGUAACUACCCAGAAAGGGACGGCUAACUACGUG